ensembl:lncRNA
GUGCUGUUGUGUCCUCUUACACAGUGGAGCUGUACGUGAGACCAGGAGAAACCGUUACUGUACCUUGUGACUGUAAACUCUCAUCUGGUGAAACUAUUGUUUGGUACAGGAACUGUUCUCAUGAAAAUCAGCCCCCACUUAUUCUGACAAUGCAGGAAUUAGAGGAGAAUAAGGACUCCAAAUUAUCCAAUCUAAGUGGGAUGUGGAACCAUUCUUCAAAAACAUACACUUUACUGAUUACGAACAUAUCUGAUACUCACCUUGGUCUCUACUACUGUCGAAUUGAAAAACAGUCUAGGAAAGAGCAAGACCAGAAUGAUACAAAGUAUAAACACAGAUGUGGAAAUGUUACCACAAGGAUUUCAUUUGUGGAGGUAGACGACCGAGGUUGAGAGGAGGGAGAGGAGAAGAGCAGAGGAUGGAUUCAGGAUGACCAGCAGCAUCCAGCACUGUCCACAGUCUGGAGCAGCAGGACCGGCUGUGAAACAUGGAGACAAGAUGGUUUUAAAAUAUAUCCACAGAUAUGGACUUUUAAAGGAUAUUUCAAGGAAUUCAUUUGGUAAGUUGACCCUGUGUUGAUUUUCACAGCAAUGUCUAAUUGUAAGUAAGGGAAAUUGGCCUUGAAUAAUUGAACUCUUAUUUAUUGGAGGGACAACAUGCAAUUGGGCUGAAUUUCAGAAAACAAUAUUUACUUUCAUAAGUAUUCAUAAAAAAGUGUCAAUAGAAUAUCAUUUGAGUCUAUCA